rnacentral:piRNA from 1 species
CGGAUAAUGGACAUGGUGAGCAA